GCUGGCGUAGCUCAACUGGCAGAGCAGCUGAUUUGUAAUCAGCAGGUUGCGGGUUCAAAUCCCAUCGCCAGCUCCA
rnacentral:tRNA from 2 species